rnacentral:rRNA from 1 species
UACGGAGGGUGCGAGCGUUGUCCGGAAUCACUGGGCGUAAAGCGCACGUAGGCGGCUUUGUAAGUUAGAGGUGAAAGCCCGGGGCUCAACCCCGGAAUUGCCUUUAAGACUGCAUCGCUUGAAUCCGGGAGAGGUGAGUGGAAUUCCGAGUGUAGAGGUGAAAUUCGUAGAUAUUCGCAAGAACACCAGUGGCGAAGGCGAGUCCCUGGACAACACCUGACACUGAGGCACGAAAGCUAGGGGAGCAAACAGG